GGGGGCGGUGGGUAAAGGAAGCUUAAUAAUGUUGAAGGAAUACCCAUUCUUCUUCUUACCCCUUUCUCUCUCCGUAUAUAUAUAU